CGGUGCAGUUCAUUGCACCUGUAGAAAUGGACACAAUGGUUUCCUUGGCUCUGUUUAUUUGGAUGGUAAUGCUCCUUUUACAAGACUCGAGCUGUCAGAUUGUUCUGACUCAGUCUCCAUCAGCCCAGUCUGUGAGUUUAGGACAAAGAGUAUCCAUCAACUGUAAGGCGUCUAGCUCUAUUAGCGAUGAUGUGCAGUGGUACCUUCAGAAACCUGGCCAGGCUCCACAGGUCCUAAUAUGGGAGGGUACUAACCGGCAGUCAGGGAUUCCAGAAAGGUUCAGUGGCCAGUACUCUGGGACCAGCUUCACCCUAACAAUCAGUUUCUUCCAGCCUGAAGAUGCAGGACAUUAUUACUGUCAGCAGGACUAUAAUUAUCCUUUCACACAGUGAUAGAGAGUCGUACAAAAACCUGCUCA